ACUCCUACGGGAGGCAGCAGUGGGGAAUAUUGGACAAUGGGGGCAACCCUGAUCCAGCGAUGCCGCGUGUGUGAAGAAGGCCUGAGGGUUGUAAAGCACUUUUAGUGGGGAGGAAAGUUAACAGGUUAAGAGCUAGUUAAGUUGACGUUACCCACCAUAAACAGCACCGGCUAACUCCGUGCCAGCAGCCGCGGUAAUACGGAGGGGUUAGCGUUGUUCGGAAUUACUGGGCGUAAAGCGCGCGUAGGCGGAUUGGAAAGUUGGGGUGAAAUCCCGGGGCUCAACCCCGAACGGCCUCCAAAACUCCCAGUCUUGAGUUUCGAGAGAGGUGAGUGAAUUCCGAGUGUAGAGGUGAAAUUCGUGAUAUUCGGAGGAACACCAGUGCGAAGGCGGCUCANUGGCUCGAUACUGACGCUGAGGUGCGAAAAGCGUGGGGAGCAAACAGGAUUAGAUACCCU
rnacentral:rRNA from 1 species